AAAGGGGCUUCGGCUCCGAGUAAAGUGGCGCACGGGUGAGUAAUACGUGGGUAACCUGCCUCUAAGACCGGGACAACUUGUCGAAAGACGAGCUAAUACCGGAUAAGACCACAGUUCCCGAGGGGACAGAGGUCAAAGGUAGCCUCUAUUUAUAAGCAAUCACUUAGAGAUGGGCCCGCGCACCAUUAGCUAGUUGGUGGGGUAAUGGCCCACCAAGGCAAAGAUGGUUAGCUGGUCUGAGAGGAUGAUCAGCCACACUGGAACUGAGACACGGUCCAGACUCCUACGGGAGGCAGCAGUGGGGAAUAUUGCGCAAUGGGCGAAAGCCUGACGCAGCAACGCCGCGUGAGUGAUGAAGGCCCUCGGG
rnacentral:rRNA from 1 species